AUGAACGCUGGCGGCGUGCCUAAUACAUGCAAGUCGCGCGCACGGACAAGAAGCUUGCUUCUCUGAUGUUAGCGGCGGACGGGUGAGUAACACGUGGAUAACCUACCUAUAAGACUGGGAUAACUUCGGGAAACCGGAGCUAAUACCGGAUAAUAUUUUGAACCGCAUGGUUCAAAAGUGAAAGACGGUCUUGCUGUCACUUAUAGAUGGAUCCGCGCUGCAUUAGCUAGUUGGUAAGGUAACGGCUUACCAAGGCAACGAUGCAUAGCCGACCUGAGAGGGUGAUCGGCCACACUGGAACUGAGACACGGUCCAGACUCCUACGGGAGGCAGCAGUAGGGAAUCUUCCGCAAUGGGCGAAAGCCUGACGGAGCAACGCCGCGUGAGUGAUGAAGGUCUUCGGAUCGUAAAACUCUGUUAUUAGGGAAGAACAUAUGUGUAAGUAACUGUGCACAUCUUGACGGUACCUAAUCAGAAAGCCACGGCUAACUACGUG
rnacentral:rRNA from 1 species